GUCGAAAUCGAGCCUUGCCGGAUUCUGCAAAUUUUCGCCGGAUUCUGGAAAUUUUCCGGCCACCUCGACUGUUUUAGGUGAUUGACGGUCUUCCUUGGGUGAGCGGUUUCGGUGUGUAUUGUGUUAAAUUGAAGACGCAGCGGGAAUAUCGAGCGGGUAAUCCUGCAGGUCAGGAGAAUCAG